GGGUGCAUGGUCUAGUGGUAUGAUUCUCGCCCCGCAAGUGAGCGGUCCCCGGUUCGAUCCCGGGUGUAUCCA
rfam:Drechmeria coniospora strain ARSEF 6962 chromosome 02, whole genome shotgun sequence.